AACGAACGCUGGCGGCAGGCUUAACACAUGCAAGUCGAGCGCCCCGCAAGGGGAGCGGCAGACGGGUGAGUAACGCGUGGGAAUCUACCGUGCCCUACGGAAUAACGCAUGGAAACGUGUGCUAAUACCGUAUACGCCCUACGGGGGAAAGAUUUAUCGGGGUAUGGUGAGCCCGCGUUGGAUUAGCUAGUUGGUGGGGUAAAGGCCUACCAAGGCGACGAUCCAUAGCUGGUCUGAGAGGAUGAUCAGCCACAUUGGGAAUGAGACACGGCCCAAACUCCUACGGGAGGCAGCAGUGGGGAAUAUUGGACAAUGGGCGCAAGCCUGAUCCAGCCAUGCCGCGUGAGUGAUGAAGGUCUUAGGAUUGUAAAGCUCUUUCACCGGUGAAGAUAAUGACGGUAACCGGAGAAGAAGCCCCGGCUAACUUCGUGCCAGCCGCCGCCGUAAUAC
rnacentral:rRNA from 1 species